rnacentral:rRNA from 1 species
UACGAAGGGGGCUAGCGUUGCUCGGAAUCACUGGGCGUAAAGCGCACGUAGGCGGCUUUCUAAGUCAGGGGUGAAAUCCUGGAGCUCAACUCCAGAACUGCCUUUGAUACUGAAGAUCUUGAGUUCGGGAGAGGUGAGUGGAACUGCGAGUGUAGAGGUGAAAUUCGUAGAUAUUCGCAAGAACACCAGUGGCGAAGGCGGCUCACUGGCCCGAUACUGACGCUGAUGCACGAAAGCGUGGGGAGCAAACAGG